UGGGUUACGGCAGCCUCGUGCGGUGUACUCGUCCGGACCGUAGACCGGCAGGACCCCGCGUCUUUGGGUGAUCAAACCGUUGAGGCUUUCAGAAACGCUUGCCGAACGACACCUUGCUCCUUCGCCUCCGAGCCGAAAUCAAACAGUUUUAGAUUCAUCCUGAAGCCUCUGAGCACCUCCUUCAAGUUCCGGAUUAACUUCAAAGUGAAAGCGGCCGGCCAUGUUGUGCUUUCACUCGGAUUGGCCAGGACUCAACAAUCCGGUUUUGCCUUUAUAGAUAUAAGGGGAAAUGAAUGCCGGGAUUGGGGUAUGCUAUGACGGAUGCCCGUCAUCCACUUUCCUGUUCUCACACAAUGAAGAUGGACUGGUCUCUAGUGAUGAAUAUCGGCCCUUCUGGAUCGAGUGGAUAGGGGGCGCUAUCACGGUGGGCAAAGGGGGACAGAGUCAGGGUUUCACGCUGGCUGACGUCACCGCACAUCUAAAUGCAACGCCUGAUUUUGUGCAUGUUGGUAUCUCUACUUGGAGCACAUACCACGGGGACUGGGUGUUUUAUCAAUAUUGUGAGUAACUAUAAUAAGCACCAUUGAC